rfam:Schistosoma mansoni, Puerto Rico, WGS project CABG01000000 data, contig: 0071
UUCCAGCUGACGAGUCCCAGAUAGAAUGAAACGUAUGUCCUGGAU